rnacentral:lncRNA from 1 species
GAGGAGACUGAAGAAAAGACAAAAUUUAAGCCAUUCACUGGCAAGGGGAGACGCUUGGACGGGGAAUCUGUAGACGGUAAAGUGGCUAGCAGCAAGACUCAAGAGAACAAUACGCCGACCACCAGUGGCAGCUCCGGCGCAUCAGGUGCGGUUUCGGCGUCAACCACCAGUGUUGGCGGCAAGAAAUCUGGAAAGCUUGUUUUUGGUUCCAACGGCUUGGAGAGAUUACCAGAUGACUCGAGGAAUGGCUUCACACUUGAAGAGAGAAAAGAGCAAAAAUUUCAAGCUUUCACAGGCAAGAAACAUGUACUAGGAAGCCUAUAGUUGGUUUAUUAGUCGGCUCCUUUUUAGUUCCAUUUUCAUAGUUUAUUUCGUUGAAUUUUAUUCAAUAUUAGGAUGCUCACAGAUUUUUAGGAUUUGGCUACUUAAUUGCAUGCUCAUAAAAUUAACGGGAAUACAAAAGGGAUUGUUAUUAUUGGAGUAAUCGCCAAAUCCAAUGUCCAUGCUUUAUUUAAAUUAUUAUAAAUCAUAAAGAGAUACUGUGUUAUCAGGAUGAUGAAUGAAUAGUUGAUAAUCUAUAAGUUUAAAGCCAUACGUGAUUCGACACAAUCAUUUUUCUAAGACUUUCGAAAAGCUUCUUGAUUUUGAGUGUGCUGAGGUUGAAUAUUCCUUUGUCUGAUUUGGGCGAAAAGGAGGAGGAUUCCUUCUUGGUUUUGCAAAUUCCGUGUAAAGCCAUACCUUACAAUCUUGUUUCGAGACUUUCGUAAAGCUUUCUGAUUUUGAUGGAGCUGAGGUUGAAUAUUCCUUUAUAUUUUCAAAAGAUUGACUCCAACAUAUUCACUCUUUGGUGUGUGAUGCUUUCUUUGUGUUGAUUAUUCAUCUUUUCUCUACAUAUUGUUGUCAUUGAAGCUACUCAAUCCAAUAAUUGUUCGUAAUUUCUGAUAUAAUUGAAGCUUCUCAUUCUAAAUUUGUUGGUUUUCAAAUAACAGUAUGAAAAGUUCAUUUCAGGGUCCUUAGUUUUCUUUUGUAUUCUUAAGAAACAGAGUGAUCAUAGCCAGAUAUAUACAGAGGGACUUUCCAUUUUCUCAAUAUGAUAUAGGACUUGUCUCUUAGAAUAUUAACCACAAAUUCUACAUUUUAGCAUUACUUAUGUUAGAAUGUUUCUUUUAAAGGUUUUAUUCCAAGUCCUUCUCUACCAAUCAGGAAUGUUAUACAUUUUUGCAAUUGAUUUUUAAUUUCUUUCAAUUUAUUGCUAAAAUGAUCAGCACUAGAAGUGCCAUAUUUAUAAUCCCACUAGUCACUUCCAAGUUGCUUCAAUUUCCAAGAUAUGUUGAUGGCUUGUAUUUGGCUUUUGAUUGAUCAAUAUCACCUCAUAACCAAGUCGAACGUCAAGCAUUUUUCUUGUCCAAGGUCAGAUAUUGGAGGGCUUCUAAUGGCCUAUUUACGGCAGAUUAUGUGGCAAUGCAUUCUGGUGUCUAUUGGAACAAUGCAUUCAAUUGGAUAAACCUUUUUGGGGAAUUAUUUGUAUCUCAAUUUUGAUGCACAGAAGCUUGGAAAUCUCAAAAUAACCAACAGGGACAGUUGGACUGGCUAUAAUUAAUUGGCCAUUCUGGUACUUCAGGGAGUCUUGAGGACAUUUGCAUCUAAUUGAACUAUGUUGUGUUCACCGCACACAUUUUAAUGUUUUUGAGAUGAAAAGAGACUCUCAUCUUUGAGCCUACUAAUGAAGUGUUCAGUAUACCCAUUCCCAAGGAAGGGAGGGAGGGUUAAGUUAUGAAGGGCGGUUUGAUACUUUCGGGUGGUUCAUGGAGUCUAUUUCUCCUGUUUGAUAUGUUAUGCUCUGAGUCCUUGAAUGAUUUAGGAUACAUUUUUAUCAUUAUUUUCAUAAGAUGCGUAAAAAUAAAAAACAAAAAUAGAAAACAUGUAGGAUAUAAAGAUACAAGAAUCAUGUGUACAAGGAUAUGAACUUCAACCGAUUAUAAAAAUUUUUGAAGACGUUUUGUGUAAUAAAUUGACUGUACAGUUCAUAUAUAAGAAGCUAGGAAGGUUCAUAAUGUUCCCAAGUCAUUUUUUUCUUUUAAAACAUGAAACAUGAGCGACUAUAAACAGUUCAAACAAGGGCUUAGACUAUUUGCAUGCUGAUUUUUUGUUAUAUUAAGCCCCAGUAGAAUAAUUUUAUGAGGAAAUUUCAUUGAGUGUCAAAAUUUGACUAUGCAUUAUCAAAAAUGCUACCUUUCAAAUUUUCUAUCAAAAAUGUCAAUUUAGGACAUUUUUGACCCUAUGAAUUAUUUGAAUACCUUAUAUAUCAUUGUACAAAACCUCUGGAAUGAAAUGACAAAAUGUCGGAAAUGAAAUGACAAUGUGUCAGAGUGAAAUGACAACAUAGCUCUGAAAUAGCUUACAUUUAACUGUCGUUCCCGACAGUUAGUAUCAGUAAUUCUUGACAAAUGGACUCAUCGAUAGAUCAGAUGAAGUUUUCGACAGAUGAACUAUCGGGAACGACAAUUCCUUUCUUUACUUAAGUUCAGUUCCACAAUUUGAACUUUGGUUCCAACAUUGCACAUGUGUUUCGCAUUAACAUGUAUGAAAUACUAUGAUUUCAUGAUUUGUUAAUUGAUUUGUCGUUGUUUAUGCUUGAUUGAUGCAUUCAUUUUCUAUGUUCCAGUUUCAAUGGUGUGUUUCGCAUUUUUUGUUCAUUAUGCUUGAUUGAUGAAUUCAUUUUCGCCCUGAAAUGUCAUUUUGGCUGCCCACAUGAAGUGGGUAGAGAUCUAUGUGCACGAGAACGAUUAUGACAAAUUAUGUUCAUCAAUUGACUUCCAUAAUAACUUUGAUCAGAUUGUUGUUAUUAUUGCUUAUUUAUCUAUAAUGUAUGACUGCUUUUCACAUUACUGGGGUGACAGGAGAAACAAUGAAUUUAUAUGAGAUACGCGAUGGUUGUUCAUCAUUCGACGUUGUUGAAAGAAGUCAGAAUAUUUGUUAAUGCGUA